UACAGAGGUCCCAAGCGUUGUUCGGAUUCAUUGGGCGUAAAGGGUGCGUAGGCGGCGCGGUAAGUCGGGUGUGAAAUCUCGGGGCUUAACUCCGAAACUGCAUUCGAUACUGCCGUGCUUGAGGACUGGAGAGGAGACUGGAAUUUACGGUGUAGCGGUGAAAUGCGUAGAUAUCGUAAGGAAGACCAGUGGCGAAGGCGGGUCUCUGGACAGUUCCUGACGCUGAGGCACGAAGGUCAGGGGAGCAAACGGGAUUA
rnacentral:rRNA from 1 species